CCUUAAAAUAAAACAACUCAUUAGAUGAGAACUAAUAAAAAUAUUAUAAACUCAAACUAUAUGGCGGCAUAUAAAAAUUACAGGGGAACUUACCACAUAAAUGAUAGUCACCAAGAAAAAAUAACCUAUUAUUAAAAAAGUUUGUAUACCGUCGUUAGCAAGAAGCCCUUAAGGGGUUUUUGUGUUUCUAUUAAUAUAUAAGAUAACAGAUCAAGGUGCAACCAAUGCAUAGGAGUUGGCGAGUUACAAUAAUAACAUAUUUCGGCUAAGGACUUAAUUUUUUCCUUUAAAGAUGGACUUGUAAGUAUAUAAUAAUAUCUAGUAAUUAUAAUUAAUAAUAGAAUCUAACCUUUAUUUGUGU
rnacentral:rRNA from 1 species